rnacentral:rRNA from 1 species
AUUGAACGCUGGCGGCAUGCCUUACACAUGCAAGUCGAACGGCAGCGCGGGGCAACCUGGCGGCGAGUGGCGAACGGGUGAGUAACAUAUCGGAACAUACCCUAGAGUGGGGGAUAACGUAGCGAAAGUUACGCUAAUACCGCAUACGCACUAAGGUGGAAAGUGGGGGAUUCGCAAGAACCUCAUGCUCAUGGAGUGGCCGAUAUCUGAUUAGCUAGUUGGUGAGGUAAGGGCUCACCAAGGCGACGAUCAGUAGCUGGUUUGAGAGAACGACCAGCCACACUGGAACUGAGACACGGUCCAGACUCCUACGGGAGGCAGCAGUGGGGAAUUUUUGGGACAAUGGGGGCAACCCUGAUCCAGCAAUGCCGCGUGAGUGAAGAAGGCC